AUCUGGAAAGCAAAAAUCCCCCUUAAGAUUCAAAUUUUCCUUUGGAAAAUUUUUCAUGAUGCUAUACUAACAAGAGAUGUCAUGAGCAGACGAAAAUGGUUGGGGAAUCCUGCUUGCCCUUUUUGUGAUAAGCGAGAAACUUCCCAGCACCUUUUCUUUACAUGUCUAGUGGCCAGAGUUCCUUGGUCCUACACAUUUUUGCCUGAUGGAGAGAGAUUCUAUACUUUUGGCUUAGCAGGGCUCUGCUGGGCGAUGUGGAUUAGUCGCAACAGUAUCACCUUUGAGUCCAAAAAAUUGAGACCCCCUUUUGAUGUGAUUUACUCUGCGUGUCUCUAUCUUACCUACUUGGCAGGUUUGCUGGCGGGAGAUGAUCGGGAUAUGAUGGAGCGCGGAGCCAAGAUGCUGAGGAUCAACGCCUCGAACAUGAUGUGGAUCUGCGCAGCGCCGGGGGGACGGCAAACUGAGAGCUGGACGUGCUCCGGGACAUGCUGCCUGCUUUUCGACGAACUAAGCCAGUCUUUUCUGCUCCUGCGUGGGCAUUUAUCUUGUUUUGGAGUUGCCUUAAAAACUUGUAUGAGCCUGAUACUAGUCGUGUUAGUUUUUCCAGUUCUUAGGGUGUCGCUGGGUUUUCACCCCAUAGCGAGCUGCUCGAUGACGAGUGCUUGCCGUGGGUUUCCCAGCGAUGCUUUGGACUCGCUUUCCCCUUUUCUAGGUUUCCUUUUGCACUAA
rnacentral:rRNA from 1 species